GGAUCGGUGGCGCAAUGGUAGCAUGUUUGACUCCGGAUCAGAAGAUUAUGUGCUCGAUUCACGUCAGGUUCA
rnacentral:tRNA from 1 species